rnacentral:rRNA from 1 species
UACGAAGGGGGCUAGCGUUGCUCGGAAUCACUGGGCGUAAAGCGCACGUAGGCGGCUUUUUAAGUCAGAGGUGAAAUCCUGGAGCUCAACUCCAGAACUGCCUUUGAUACUGGAGAGCUUGAGUCCGGGAGAGGUGAGUGGAACUGCGAGUGUAGAGGCGAAAUUCGUAGAUAUUCGCAAGAACACCAGUGGCGAAGGCGGCUCACUGGCCCGGUACUGACGCUGAGGUGCGAAAGCGUGGGGAGCAAACAGG